UACGUAGGGUGCAAGCGUUGUCCGGAAUUAUUGGGCGUAAAGAGCUCGUAGGCGGUCUGUCGCGUCGGCUGUGAAAACCCGCGGCUCAACUGUGGGCGGGCAGCUGAUACGGGCAGGCUGGAGUUCGGUAGGGGAGACUGGAAUUCCUGGUGUAGCGGUGAAAUGCGCAGAUAUCAGGAGGAACACCGGUGGCGAAGGCGGGUCUCUGGGCCGAUACUGACGCUGAGGAGCGAAAGCGUGGGGAGCAAACGGG
rnacentral:rRNA from 1 species